AUUGAACGCUGGCGGCAGGCCUAACACAUGCAAGUCGAGCGGGGUUUUCGGACCUAGCGGCGGACGGGUGAGUAAUGCGUAGGAAGCUGCCCGAUAGAGGGGGAUACCAGUUGGAAACGACUGUUAAUACCGCAUAAUGUCUACGGACCAAAGUGUGGGACCUUCGGGCCACAUGCUAUCGGAUGUGCCUACGUGGGAUUAGCUAGUUGGUGAGGUAAUGGCUCACCAAGGCGACGAUCUCUAGCUGGUUUGAGAGGAUGAUCAGCCACACUGGAACUGAGACACGGUCCAGACUCCUACGGGAGGCAGCAGUGGGGAAUAUUGGACAAUGGGCGCAAGCCUGAUCCAGCCAUGCCGCGUGUGUGAAGAAGGCCUUCGGGUUGUAAAGCACUUUCAGCGAGGAGGAAGGGGUGUGUGUUAAUAGUACACACCUUUGACGUUACUCGCAGAAGAAGCACCGGCUAACUCUGUGCCAGCCGCCGCGGUAAUAC
rnacentral:rRNA from 1 species